AGAGAACUAAAAUGAAAGUAACACUACGUCCAUAAAGUAAGAAAGCUACAGAAUCCAUCUAUUUUCUGAGGAACUAACCAUGAAAGCAAUAUCCCUGAUGAUUGUUCUUCUCCCUCUGAUAAUGUUUCCACCGUCAUCACAAUGUUGUGUGAGAAGGAUGGAGUGCCCAAGAGUAGUAGGGGACAUAGGGCAGUGCCUGUGGUACUUGAGGAGCAUCCCUUAUAUAACAUUUCCGUCAACACAAUGUUGCGACGGACUUAGAAAUCUUGCAAGCGGUUUACAUAACGUGCAGGAUAGAAGAGAUGCUUGUAACUGCGUUAGGGCCGUAUCAAUGAUCAUAGCCCCAUUUCCAACCAACGCUAGGGAACUCCCAAUUCGAUGUGGGGUCCAACUUCCCUUCCCCUUUUCCACUGCCUUUGACUGCUCCAGGAUUGGAUGAGUCAGAGCCAAAUUUCGUUCUUCGAUGCAGCAAGAAUGAAGAGAAAAUAAUACUGUUUACGAAUAUUUAUCAAUAGACAUAGAAGUAUAUAAUCUAAUAAAGUAUAAAAAAAAAUCUAAUGGAAUCGUCUAGUGCUUUGUUGAUUCCUGGAGUUCAAAUGAAUAUCCUAGUGAGAUUUAAAUAAAUAUUUAGGAACCUAUCGUUCCUUUUUCUUUU